rnacentral:ncRNA from 1 species
GAAAAGGCUGUGACGGAGAAAAGUACGCCGCGCCUCUUUUUUUUAGGGAGAAAAUGCCUUAGACUGCAAGCAUUUUUAAAAAGAGACGGCAGAAGUUCACCUCCCGAGCCGGUGCUAGGACCGCUUUGGCGUAAAGGCACCCCGGUUUUAAACAGCCGUUAUCCGAAUGAAGUGAAUGCGCACGUUUGCGCGUUAAAAAGGGUGGUACCGCGAUUUAGAAGCCUCGUCCCUUUC